rnacentral:sRNA from 1 species
CUCAUAUGGUGCCUGAGGUUUUGAGCUUCCUUAAGAUUACUUGGCCCCUUCAAGACUGUUCUGAACUCCCUCAACUCUCUCUGCAGGGCAUGGAGAUUGUACAGACCAUGAACAGUGAUCCUGGCCUGGCAGUGGGGUACACAGCUUUUAAUGGAGUUGACUUCGAAGGGACCUUCCAUGUGAAUACCCAGACAGAUGAUGACUAUGCAGGCUUUAUCUUUGGCUACCAAGAUAGCUCCAGCUUCUACGUGGUCAUGUGGAAGCAGACAGAGCAGACGUAUUGGCAAGCCACCCCAUUCCGAGCAGUUGCAGAACCUGGCAUUCAGCUCAAGGCUGUGAAGUCUAAGACAGGUCCAGGGGAGCAUCUCCGGAACUCCCUGUGGCACACGGGGGACACCAGUGACCAGGUCAGGCUGCUGUGGAAGGACUCCAGGAAUGUGGGCUGGAAGGACAAGGUGUCCUACCGCUGGUUCCUACAGCACAGGCCCCAGGUGGGCUAUAUCAGGGUACGAUUUUAUGAAGGCUCUGAGUUGGUGGCUGACUCUGGAGUCACCAUAGACACCACAAUGCGUGGAGGCCGACUUGGCGUUUUCUGCUUCUCUCAAGAAAACAUCAUCUGGUCCAACCUCAAGUAUCGCUGCAAUGACACCAUCCCUGAGGACUUCCAAGAGUUUCAAACCCAGAAUUUCGACCGCUUCGAUAAUUAAACCAAGGAAGCAAUCCGUAACUGCUUUUCGGAACACUAAAACCAUAUAUAUUUUAACUUCAAUUUUCUUUAUAUACACUGUGGCUUUUACCAACCCAAAUAUAUCAAAACGUUUUAUGUGAAUAUGGCAAUAAAGGAGAAGAGAUCAUUUUUAAAAA